UACGGCCUUAUCCUAUUGAAACAAUGGUUCCCGUACGAUCACCAAAAUUAAGCAACGUCGAGCCUGGUCAGUAACGAGUGACCUCUUGGGAAUAUCAGGUGUUGUAAG